AUUGAACGCUGGCGGCAGGCCUAACACAUGCAAGUCGAGCGGAUCGGCGGUCGGGUGAGUAAUGCCUAUGAAUCUGACUGGUAGUGGGGGAUAACGUUCGGUAACGGGCGCUAAUACCGCUUACUCUCAGAUGAGCCUAGGUGUGAUUAGCUAGUGGGUGGGGUAAAGGCCUACCAAGGCGACGAUCCGUAACUGGUCUGAGAGGAUGAUCAGUCACACUGGAACUGAGACACGGUCCAGACUCCUACGGGAGGCAGCAGUGGGGAAUAUUGGGCAAUGGGCGAAACCCUGAUCCAGCCAUGCCGCGUGAGUGAAGAAGGUCUUCGGAUUGUAAAGCACUUUAAGUUGGGAGGCGUUACCAACAGAAGAAGCACCGGCUAACUCCGUGCCAGCAGCCGCGGUAAUUC
rnacentral:rRNA from 1 species